UACGUAGGGUGCGAGCGUUAAUCGGAAUUACUGGGCGUAAAGCGUGCGCAGGCGGUUCGUUGUGUCGGCGGUGAAAGCCCCGGGCUUAACCUGGGAAUGGCCGUUGAAACUGGCGAACUGGAGUGUGGCAGAGGGGGGUGGAAUUCCGCGUGUAGCAGUGAAAUGCGUAGAGAUGCGGAGGAACACCGAUGGCGAAGGCAGCCCCCUGGGCUAACACGUGACGCUCGAGGCACGAAAGCGUGGGGAGCAAACAGG
rnacentral:rRNA from 1 species